UUUUAAUCAGAAAAGGCAAGAAGCCAUGGUGUGUUCCCUCUCCCUCCCUUUUUCAACUCCCCCUCCCCCACUCCUCAGUUUCCUCUUAGGGUCUGUCUCUCUCUGUCGUCGAUCGUCUCCAGUCGAUGCCCGCCAAGAAACUCUUCCUUGAUUCUUGUGUUCUUGGGUCGUCAAUUGGUGCGAGAGGCUUGAUUUUCUCGGUGUCUUAACCGAUCGCAGCAGCAUGGAGGUGAGGGCAGCACUGAAGCUGAGGGUCGACUGAAGAAGCGAUCGCUACAGAAAACUGCUAUGCUCGCUGCCCUAGCCAAAAUGACAACGCGACGAUCCUCCCGUUGCUGAGCAGUACAAACAUCAACGGUUUCGACGGCUGGAAACGAUCCGCGACUGAGGUUCUUGGUGUCGAACUUCCCAAAGCCAGGCAUCAAAACCCUUAAACUCCACCGUCGAUGGAAGAACCAUCCAUCGAAACAGGGGUCCGACGGCGAUGUCUACGUUGGUGCCUUCUCAUUUAAUCUCCGAUGGUAUGGGUGGCGCUGUAGUCCAAUUGUCACCUUCGACGCAUCAAUCCGCCAUCGGAGUUCAUAAACCCCAAAUUAAAUGCAUCCAUUUGGCGUCGGAGUGCUUCACUGCCCAUCUUCGACGCAGUUGGGUACGUCGACCUAGUGAGAAUGUCAUUGACAGGGAAUGAUGCGUCGAUAACAAUACCAUAAACCGCCGACAUGUUGAUGAUUGCGUCGCAAUCUAGUUUUCUCACUUUGCCGAGCUUUUUGUUUUGCGGUUAAGGGAUUGGUUUUUGCUGCAACAGGGCUUCGUCUUUGCUGCAACAGUUGGUGUAUGCGUGAGCAGGCAAUGGAUCAGUUGUUUCCCCCCGUGUUUCCUCUGUAUUAUGUCUACUGUGUGGGAAGAUGGCUGGAAAUUGUGGGGAUUGCCAUUGGAUGUUUGAAGGAGAAUAUGUAACUGCUGUCCGCUGUAAUUUGGGUAGGACAUGAGAAUUAUGCAACUGGUGGAUAGAUGCACUUAUUUUCAGUUUUUAAGUUCAUUUGUUAGUCAUCUACAAUGUCUGUGUCCAUCUAAUCUUGACUUGAUGAGCUUAGGUCUCUGCUGCAAUUUCUCUUGGCAUGCUAAAGUUGCAACUUUGUGUCCUCCCAUACUUGGGAUUAGAUUCUGAAAUAUUGCAAGUGAUUCGAGGAAGUUGUGGACUACGAUGCAUGUCCUUUGAGCAGAUUAUGACUGAACCAAGAGUGCAGAUGUUGACACAGGCAAGGAAGAAGAGGUGAAUGCUGAGAAAAUGACGGCAAUUUAUUUCUCAUUGAUCAAACAUGGAAUAAUUGUGUCAAACGAUGGAAAUGCUAUUUUGUGUGAGCUUGAUCUGGCACACCCAGUUGCUAAGGAAUAUCAAAGCUGGUGUGAUGCUGCAUGUUGCUCAAGCUUUUAUCAACAAGAACUAUCACACAUGCAGUAAUAUGCCAAGGAUCUACAAUAUUGGGUUUGGUCAAAACUCAAAAGUUCUAUUGACACAAGAUUUAUAAGCUAGUUCACUAAUCUCAUUAUUACAAUGUGUCUUAUCUUGGUCACUUUUUCUCUUUCCUGCUCUCUGGGUUGCACAAAGCUUAUAUUGCUGGAACUAUCACAAUAUUUGUAAUAAGGUUUCUAGCCGAGGGGAUUUGCUUGAAGGUCAAAUGCUAUGUCACCUGGGUGCUUCUAAAUGGCUGCGGCACCCAUGUCAAUGCUGGUGCUGGUGCUUCUCCGACACCGCACAUUCAGUUCAGUAAGCCGAACCAGAUCGAACUUCUUGGGGACAAAAUUCAUCAGGCAUUACGCCCAGCCUCCUCAUGCUGGAGCUCUAGUGGAAAGAUGUCCGUCUGGGUUGGUUGUUUGAAGGAAGUCUUACCAAUGGUUCAUAUAGGAAACUACAUAGUUGGCCAUAUUUCAUACGACCUGAAUGUCCAAGGUGGGCAGUAUGUGAAUAAUGGAAACUGCACAGAUGUCUGUCUAACUUUUGAGUGUGAUGUAAUAUAGCAUGUGGUAAUAGAAGGAUAUGAUGAAGGGUAUCAAGUUGUUGGUGAUCGAGUUUCAACUUUAUCAUUCUGUUUCAUUGUUCAUCCUGUUCCUCUUUCACCUCCAACAUCAGUUAGACAACAGCAAGUUUGCAGCGCGCAACUGCUAGCAGCAGCCUGUGUCUUUUGCUUAGUUCGCCAAUGUCAGCAACAUUUAGGUAAAUUUAUGUGCCUUGAAAGAAUCCAUACCUCCUCUUGUUCACCAAAAAUAUCAUAAUUUUGAUUUCUUUUGUCAAUUUUUUAUUUUCCUUUGUGAUAAUCGACAUUCAUAUUUUUGUUGAACAAUAGAAAUCAUGUAUGUGCUUAUAAUUGGAAUUCGUAUUUUUGUUUAAUAAUAGAAAUCAUGAAUGUGCUUA